AUGUCUCCUUCAAUCUUUGGAACAGAAACAUCCAUGUCUCCUUUAACCUUUGGACCUUUUAGAUUGAAGUCCAUGUCUGGCAUUGAGAUCUUUGGAGCAGAAAUGGAAGGCAUUUUGAAUUUUGGACCCUUGAUAUUGCCCUCAGGACCUUCAAACUCAAAAUCUGAACUUUUGAUAUCCAUUUCUGGUGCUUUAAGGUCAAUUUCAGCCUUAGGCAGUUUUACAUCAACAUCAGGACCCUCCACUUUGGGGCCCUUCAAUCCAAAAGAUGGCAUUUUGAAUUUUGGCAUCUUCAGCCCACCUUCAGGACCUUCCACAUCAAACUCUGGACCUUUUAUGUCGACUUUUGGUGCUUUAAUGUCUCCCUCAAUCUUUGGAACAGAAACAUCCAUGUCUCCUUUAACCUUUGGACCUUUUAGAUUGAAGUCCACGUCUGGCAUUGAAAUCUUGGGACCAGAGAUGGAUGGCAUUUUAAAUUUAGGCCCCUUGAUUUUCCCCUCAGGACCAUCAAAAUCGACAUCUGGACUUUUGAUAUCAAUGUCUGGUGCUUUGACGUCAAUUUCAGCUUUAGGGAGCUUUACAUCAACAUCAGGACCCUCUACUUUGGGGCCCUUCAAUCCAAACGAUGGCAUUUUUAAUUUUGGCAUCUUCAGCCCAACUUCAGUACCUUCCACAUCAAACUCUGGACCUUUUAUGUUGACUUUUGGUGCUUUUAUGUCUCCCUCAAUCUUUGGAACAGAAACAUCCAUAUCUCCCUUAACUUUUGGACCUUUUAGAUUGAAGUCCACGUCUGGCAUUGAGAUCUUUGGACCAGACAUGGAUGGCAUUUUGAAUUUAGGCCCCUUGAUUUUCCCCUCAGGACCAUCAAAAUCAACAUCUGGACUUUUGAUAUCAAUUUCUGGUGCUUUAAGGUCAAUUUCAGCUUUAGGGAGCUUUACAUCAACAUCAGGACCCUCUACUUUGGGGCCCUUCAAUCCAAAAGAUGGCAUUUUGAAUUUUGGCAUCUUCAGCCCACCUUCAGGACCUUCCACAUCAAACUCUGGACCUUUUACGUCGACUUUUGGUGCUUUAAUGUCUCCCUCAAUCUUUGGAACACAAACAUCCAUGUCUCCUUUAACUUUUGGACCUUUUAGAUUGAAGUCCAGGUCUGGCAUUGAGAUCUUUGGACCAGAGAUGGAUGGCAUUUUGAAUUUAGGCCCCUUGAUUUUCCCCUCAGGACCAUCAAAAUCAACAUCUGGACUUUUAAUAUCAAUUUCUGGUGCUUUCAGGUCAAUUUCAGCUUUAGGGAGCUUUACAUCAACAUCAGGACCCUCUACUUUGGGGCCCUUCAAUCCAAAAGAUGGCAUUUUGAAUUUUGGCAUCUUCAGCCCACCUUCAGGACCUUCCACAUCAAACUCUGGACCUUUUAUGUUGACUUUUGGUGCUUUUAUGUCUCCCUCAAUCUUUGGAACAGAAACAUCCAUAUCUCCCUUAACUUUUGGACCUUUUAGAUUGAAGUCCACGUCUGGCAUUGAGAUCUUUGGACCAGACAUGGAUGGCAUUUUGAAUUUAGGCCCCUUGAUUUUCCCCUCAGGACCAUCAAAAUCAACAUCUGGACUUUUGAUAUCAAUUUCUGGUGCUUUAAGGUCAAUUUCAGCUUUAGGGAGCUUUACAUCAACAUCAGGACCCUCUACUUUGGGGCCCUUCAAUCCAAAAGAUGGCAUUUUGAAUUUUGGCAUCUUCAGCCCACCUUCAGGACCUUCCACAUCAAACUCUGGACCUUUUACGUCGACUUUUGGUGCUUUAAUGUCUCCCUCAAUCUUUGGAACACAAACAUCCAUGUCUCCUUUAACUUUUGGACCUUUUAGAUUGAAGUCCAGGUCUGGCAUUGAGAUCUUUGGACCAGAGAUGGAUGGCAUUUUGAAUUUAGGCCCCUUGAUUUUCCCCUCAGGACCAUCAAAAUCGACAUCUGGACUUUUGAUAUCAAUGUCUGGUGCUUUGACGUCAAUUUCAGCUUUAGGGAGCUUUACAUCAACAUCAGGACCCUCUACUUUGGGGCCCUUCAAUCCAAACGAUGGCAUUUUGAAUUUUGGCAUCUUCAGCCCACCUUCAGGACCUUCCACAUCAAACUCUGGACCUUUUAUGUUGACUUUUGGUGCUUUUAUGUCUCCCUCAAUCUUUGGAACAGAAACAUCCAUAUCUCCCUUAACUUUUGGACCUUUUAGAUUGAAAUCCACGUCUGGCAUUGAGAUCUUUGGACCAGACAUGGAUGGCAUUUUGAAUUUAGGCCCCUUGAUUUUCCCCUCAGGACCAUCAAAAUCAACAUCUGGACUUUUAAUAUCAAUUUCUGGUGCUUUCAGGUCAAUUUCAGCUUUAGGGAGCUUUACAUCAACAUCAGGACCCUCUACUUUGGGGCCCUUCAAUCCAAAAGAUGGCAUUUUGAAUUUUGGCAUCUUCAGCCCACCUUCAGGACCUUCCACAUCAAACUCUGGACCUUUUACGUCGACUUUUGGUGCUUUAAUGUCUCCUUCAAUCUUUGGAACAGAAACAUCCAUGUCUCCUUUAACUUUUGGACCUUUUAGAUUGAAGUCAACGUCUGGCAUUGAGAUCUUUGGACCAGACAUGGAUGGCAUUUUGAAUUUAGGCCCCUUGAUUUUCCCCUCAGGACCAUCAAAAUUGACAUCUGGACUUUUGAUAUCAAUUUCUGCUGCUUUGAGGUCAAUUUCAGCUUCAGGGAGCUUUACAUCAACAUCAGGACCCUCUACUUUGGGGCCCUUCAAUCCAAACGAUGGCAUUUUGAAUUUUGGCAUCUUCAGCCCACCUUCAGGACCUUCCACAUCAAACUCUGGACCUUUUAUGUCGACUUUUGGUGCUUUAAUGUCUCCCUCAAUCUUUGGAACAGAAACAUCCAUAUCUCCCUUAACUUUUGGACCUUUUAGAUUGAAGUCCAGGUCUGGCAUUGAGAUCUUGGGACCAGAGAUGGAUGGCAUUUUGAAUUUAGGCCCCUUGAUUUUCCCCUCAGGACCAUCAAAAUCGACAUCUGGACUUUUGAUAUCAAUGUCUGGUGCUUUGAGGUCAAUUUCAGCUUUAGGGAGCUUUACAUCAACAUCAGGACCCUCUACUUUGGGGCCCUUCAAUCCAAACGAUGGCAUUUUGAAUUUUGGCAUCUUCAGACCACCUUCAGGACCUUCCACAUCAAACUGUGGACCUUUUAUGUCGAUGUUUGGUGCUUUAAUGUCUCCCUCAAUCUUUGGAACAGAAACAUCCAUGUCUCCUUUAACUUUUGGACCUUUUAGAUUGAAGUCCACAUCUGGCAUUGAGAUCUUUGGACCAGAGAUGGAUGGCAUUUUGAAUUUAGGACCCUUGAUUUUCCCCUCAGGACCUUCAAAAUCGACAUCUGGACUUUUGAUAUCAAUUUCUGGUGCUUUGAGGUCAAUUUCAGCUUUAGGGAGCUUUACAUUAACAUCAGGACCCUCCACUUUGGGGCCCUUCAAUCCAAACGAUGGCAUUUUGAAUUUUGGCAUCUUCAGCCCACCUUCAGGACCUUCCACAUCAAACUCUGGACCUUUUAUGUUGACUUUUGGUGCUUUUAUGUCUCCCUCAAUCUUUGGAACAGAAACAUCCAUGUCUCCUUUAACUUUUGGACCUUUUAGAUUGAAGUCCACGUCUGGCAUUGAGAUCUUUGGACCAGACAUGGAUGGCAUUUUGAAUUUAGGCCCCUUGAUUUUCCCCUCAGGACCAUCAAAAUCGACAUCUGGACUUUUGA
rnacentral:lncRNA from 1 species